UCGGUUUUUUUUUCCCCAAGUGUUCAUCCAAAACUCAAACAUCUUUCACCCUUACACGGUUUCACUCUCGUAACAACCUAUCGCCUCAAACCCUUACAUUAGUAACAGCGUUGAUUUUGUCUCAUGUCCCGGCAUCGAUUUUGCCUUGUCCCCCGCUAUCGAUUUGGCCAUCAUCGAGAUCCACAUGAGGAACCCACUGAACGUGUGCUGCUAUCGUUGCAUUUCAAAACCCUAACUGAAAACCCACCAUUGAUUAAGCUCAAUUUUUUUUAUUAACACAGGUAAUUAUUCUCCUUAUUUUCUCUUGCAUGUCAAUUUAAUUAAAAUUUUUUGCCAAUUUCAACACUAAAGGUGUAGUUCUAAGCACUAAAGGUUUAUCUCAAAUUUGUUCACUGUGUUAGAAAAAUGGAAUUUUUCCUUUUGUGCUCAAAUGUACUAGUUUGUUGAAAUGAACGAAAUCUGAACCUAUAGAAUGAUUUCGGUUUUGUUCUUGUGCGGCUAAUCACCUUAACAUUUUGUUCAGUCUUCAAAUUGGGGAUCCAAUUAUUUUCUUCUCAGUUCUUGUGCGGUCGAUCUUCUUUGUUGGCCGAGGGCUUUGCACCUAUGCUUCCAUUGAUGUUAUCGCAGCAGCACAGUCGAUUUGGGUCUUUUAAUACUUGAUUCUUUGAGGAAAAGUAACAUGUCUGCUUCAUGGACAUUUGUUGGAGCAAAGACUUUAGUAGAUAAUAAUGCUACUUCUGAGGUUAGCAUGACUUUGAUGCUCUGUUUUUGUAUGCAUUUAGUUACUGUACAAUUUUUGUUGCAAAGGCCUUACUGCUUAGCUUAGUUUUGCUUACUCAAUUAGUUAUAAUUUUUUUAAUUUGGCUGUGGUUUUUUGCAAAAUUUCUUUCCAAUCCAUAUUAGUUCACCUUUCUGACCAACUUGGAUAUAAAGACUGCGUCUAUUGGCUGUGGUUUUUUGCAAAAUGUCGUUCCAAUCCAUAUUAUAUAUUAUUAAUCUUUCAUUUGCAAUUGGUAUCGUAUGAAUAGCUUCAAUAUUGAAAUUUUAAUGAGUUUUUGAAGCUGGCUGUAGGAUGUGCAAGAAUUUAUUUUACCUUUCUGACCAACCUGGAUAUAUUAUUAAAACUCUAUCUAUUAGCUAUGUUUUUUGCAACGUUUCUUUUCAAUUCCUAUGAUUUACUUAUCAAUCUAUGCUCCAGAGCCUUAUGCCAAGAAUGGUUUUGCAUUUUAAUCAUAUUUCCUGCUACUCAAUGCGAUGAUUUUAUUUUUCACUCGGUGGACAGAGAGUUGGGUUUUACCUUUUCAUUUUCUAUUAGCAAACAUCAAUGGCAUCAUGAGAUCUUAUACAAUGGACUAAGGGCUGCUCUAAAGAGGAUAUGGUUAAUCGUACUUUCUCUACUCCUAUUUUGUAGCAUUUUAAUAAUGAUCCUACAACUAGAUAAUUGUAGUUGUAGCUUCCAGACUUGUUGAUUGUCCAAAAUAAGUGUUAACUGUAUUGAUAGUUUGUCUGCAUUGAUAGUUUGUCAUUCUUGCAUACAAAUAGACACUUUAGGUAUC
rnacentral:lncRNA from 1 species